UUCUGAUAUAUCUCGUUCUGUAGCUGGAAGCUAUGAAAAUGAAGCUAUACUGCUUGGCUGAGUUGUUCUAUCAACUUCACUUUCUCAUGGGCUUGUAGAGACUGGUGGUCCUGGCCCCUGGGUACAUUAUUGACUUCAUUGGUGCUUGUUGUUGGCUUCAGAGAUGAUGACCUUGGAACACUUUGCAUUGUUUUUGGUGAGUUAAUCGGAAGUGGUGGCUAAUUGGGCGCCUUCCUAUUGAUAGAUCCUACUCUAAUCAAAAUUGUGGAUGCUUUCUCCUCCCAUUCUGCUUUGAACCAAUUUAAAUAUUUAAUAUCUGUUUUGCUUGUGGCACAUAAUUUCCUAUUUUCUGAUGUUCUUUUCCUUGUUUUUUUCCUUGUAGGAUGGUAAAAUCGUAAAAUAGUUCCCUUGCUUGUAGUUUUUUUACUGUAUAACAUAGCAAAUGGAGCCGAAACUUUUUUCUUUACUAAUUUCUUAGGGUUGGUCUUUACUGCCGUUGUGACAAUACUUGUAGCAGAGGUGGCCUCCAGCCCAACAAAGGAAUGUAGUGGUCGCAGUUUGAGUCUUCUUGAACAAGUAUAUGCUAUUAGCUGCCGACGAGACAAUCUUACUUUAAGGGCAACAACGUUUUUGGCCUUCUUGGUUCCAGCUGGCAUAAUUGUUUGGCUGAGCUUGUGUUCGCUCCAGCUGCACGCAUUAUGGCUGGAAUGGAUGCUUUCGCUGUUUUCACAUGCUCAGUCAAAUUUCAAAUGCCUGGAUUACUAGGGGAUUCUGAUUGUGUCAGGUCUUCACCACAAACCAUCUGAUGGUGUAAAAACACAAAUUGAAACCUCCAAGGAACAUGAUCAAAGGAAGACAGGGAUGAGCACAUGUGGAGAAAUAGGGUUGCGCCCGUAUCAGUG